rnacentral:tRNA from 1 species
GCGGUGGUAGUCUAGCCUGGCCUAGGACUGCGGCCUGCCACGCCGCAAGCCCGGGUUCAAAUCCCGGCCACCGCA